rnacentral:rRNA from 1 species
GACGAACGCUGGCGGCGUGCCUAACACAUGCAAGUCGAGCGGAGUCGAUCGACGGAAGCCUUCGGGCGGAAGAUGGUUGACUUAGCGGCGGAUGGGUGAGUAACGCGUGGGCAACCUGCCUCGAAGACCGGGAUAACAGACCGAAAGGGCUGCUAAUACCGGAUGUGGUCAAGGAUCCGCAUGGAUCUUUGAUUAAAAGGGGGAAACCCGUUUCGAAAUGGGCCCGCGUCCUAUCAGCUAGUUGGUGAGGUAAAAGCUCACCAAGGCGACGACGGGUAGCCGGCCUGAGAGGGUGACCGGCCACACUGGAACUGAGACACGGUCCAGACUCCUACGGGGGCAGCAGUGGGGAAUCUUCCACAAUGGGCGAAAGCCUGAUGGAGCGACGCCGCGUGAGCGAAGAAGGCCUUCGGGUUGUAAAGACUCUGUCUGGAGGGACGAAGGAAGUGACGGUACCUCCGGAGGAAGCCACGGCUAACUACGUGCCAGCAGCCGCGGUAAAAUACACGUGUA